GUGGUCACUUCGGCAGCACAUAUACUAAAAUUGGAAUGAUACAGAGAUUAGCAUGGCCCCUGCACAAGGAUGCCACACAAAUUCGUGAAGUGUUCCAUAUUUAA
rnacentral:snRNA from 1 species